rnacentral:rRNA from 1 species
GACGAACGCUGGCGGCGUGCCUAAUUCAUGCAAGUAGAACGCUGAAGCGAGGAGCUUGCUCUUCUUGGAUGAGUUGCGAACGGGUGAGUAACGCGUAGGUAACCUGCCUUGUAGCGGGGGAUAACUAUUGGAAACGAUAGCUAAUACCGCAUAACAAUGGAUGACACAUGUCAUUUAUUUGAAAGGGGCAAUUGCUCCACUACAAGAUGGACCUGCGUUGUAUUAGCUAGUAGGUGAGGUAACGGCUCACCUAGGCGACGAUACAGAGCCGACCGUGGAGGGGGAUCGGCCAAACUGGGACUGGGACACGGCCCAGACUCCUACGGGAGGCAGCAGGAGGGAAUCUUCGGCAAUGGGGGCAACCCUGACCGAGCAACGCCGCGGGAGUGAAGAAGGUUCUCGGAUCGUAAAGCUCUGUUGUAAGUCAAGAACGAGUGUGAGAGUGGAAAGUUCACACUGUGACGGUAGCUUACCAGAAAGGGACGGCUAACUACGUG